rnacentral:rRNA from 1 species
CACUUAGAGUUUGAUCCUGGCUCAGGACGAACGCUGGCGGCGUGCUUAACACAUGCAAGUCGAACGAUGAAGCCUAGCUUGCUAGGUGGAUUAGUGGCGAACGGGUGAGUAAUACGUGAGUGACCUACCUUUGACUCUGGGAUAAGCCUGGGAAACUGGGUCUAAUAUCGGAUACGACCAAUCUCCGCAUGGGGUGUUGGUGGAAAGCGUUAUGGAGUGGUUUUAGAUGGGCUCACGGCCUAUCAGCUUGUUGGUGAGGUAAUGGCUUACCAAGGCGACGACGGGUAGCCGGCCUGAGAGGGUGACCGGCCACACUGGGACUGAGACACGGCCCAGACUCCUACGGGAGGCAGCAGUGGGGAAUAUUGCACAAUGGGCGCAAGCCUGAUGCAGCGACGCCGCGUGAGGGAUGACGGCCUUCGGGUUGUAAACCUCUGUUAGCAUCGAAGAAGCGAAAGUGACGGUAGGUGCAGAGAAAGCGCCGGCUAACUACGUGCCAGCAGCCGCGGUAAUACGUAGGGCGCGAGCGUUGUCCGGAAUUAUUGGGCGUAAAGAGCUUGUAGGCGGUUGGUCGCGUCUGCUGUGAAAGGCUGGGGCUUAACCCUGGUUUUGCAGUGGGUACGGGCUAACUAGAGUGCAGUAGGGGAGACUGGAAUUCCUGGUGUAGCGGUGGAAUGCGCAGAUAUCAGGAGGAACACCGAUGGCGAAGGCAGGUCUCUGGGCUGUAACUGACGCUGAGAAGCGAAAGCAUGGGGAGCGAACAGGAUUAGAUACCCUGGUAGUCCAUGCCGUAAACGUUGGGCACUAGGUGUGGGGGACAUUCCACGUUUUCCGCGCCGUAGCUACGCAUUAAGUGCCCCGCCUGGGGAGUACGGCCGCAAGGCUAAAACUCAAAGAAAUUGACGGGGGCCCGCACAAGCGGCGGAGCAUGCGGAUUAAUUCGAUGCAACGCGAAGAACCUUACCAAGGCUUGACAUAUACUGGACUGCGUCAGAGAUGGCGUUUCCCUUCGGGGCUGGUAUACAGGUGGUGCAUGGUUGUCGUCAGCUCGUGUCGUGAGAUGUUGGGUUAAGUCCCGCAACGAGCGCAACCCUCGUUCUAUGUUGCCAGCACGUGAUGGUGGGGACUCAUAGGAGACUGCCGGGGUCAACUCGGAGGAAGGUGGGGAUGACGUCAAAUCAUCAUGCCCCUUAUGUCUUGGGCUUCACGCAUGCUACAAUGGCCGGUACAGAGGGUUGCGAUACUGUGAGGUGGAGCUAAUCCCUAAAAGCCGGUCUCAGUUCGGAUUGGGGUCUGCAACUCGACCCCAUGAAGUCGGAGUCGCUAGUAAUCGCAGAUCAGCAACGCUGCGGUGAAUACGUUCCCGGGCCUUUACACACCGCCCGUC